UGCCCUUAGUAGCGGCGAGUGAAGCGGCAAAAGCUCAAAUUUGAAAUCUGGCUCUUUCAGAGUCCGAGUUGUAAUUUGAAGAAGGUAUCUUUGGGUCUGGCUCUUGUCUAUGUUUCUUGGAACAGAACGUCACAGAGGGUGAGAAUCCCGUGCGAUGAGAUGAUCCAGGCCUAUGUAAAGUUCCUUCGAAGAGUCGAGUUGUUUGGGAAUGCAGCUCUAAGUGGGUGGUAAAUUCCAUCUAAAGCUAAAUAUUGGCGAGAGACCGAUAGCGAACAAGUACAGUGAUGGAAAGAUGAAAAGAACUUUGAAAAGAGAGUGAAAAAGUACGUGAAAUUGUUGAAAGGGAAGGGCUUGAGAUCAGACUUGGUAUUUUGUAUGUUACUUCUUCGGGGGUGGCCUCUACAGUUUAUCGGGCCAGCAUCAGUUUGGGCGGUAGGAGAAUUGCGUUGGAAUGUGGCACGGCUUCGGUUGUGUGUUAUAGCCUUCGUCGAUACUGCCAGCCUAGACUGAGGACUGCGGUUUAUACCUAGGAUGUUGGCAUAAUGAUCUUAAGUCGCGUCUAA
rnacentral:rRNA from 1 species